UACGCCCGAUCUCGUCCGAUCUCGGAAGCUAAGCAGGGUCGGGCCUGGUUAGUACUUGGAUGGGAGACCGCCUGGGAAUACCAGGUGCUGUCAGCUU
rnacentral:rRNA from 1 species